rfam:Biomphalaria glabrata isolate BB02 unplaced genomic scaffold LGTN_random_Scaffold427, whole genome shotgun sequence.
GAAGCCGUGGCUGAGUGGUAAAGCGCUCGGCUUCCGAACCUGGAUCCUUGGUUCGAAUCCUGGUGUUUUUU